GGCGAGCGACUGAAUAGGAGAAAAGGAAGAGGAAGAGGAGGAAGAGGAAGAGGAAGAAGAGCAGGAAGAGGAUAUAGAAAAGUAGUGUUUGGGUGAUUCGCCGGUGUUUUUGCCGAUGUAGUCAGUACAUGAGUAAAAAGUAACGAAAGGUUUGUUGCUAUACUUUUUUCUUUUUUGGAAUUUAAUUAUGUUAUGUUAUGUUUAAGCUAAGCUAGUAAAUAUAAACAUGGUGUAAGAUUUUUACAAUUUAGCUUUUCUUUUGUAUUCUUAAAGAGUUUUGAGUUUUUUAAAGGCGGAAAAGGGGGAAGAGAACGAGUGUUUGGAUGGAGUAGUAAAGUUUAGCUAGGUUUGGAAUAAAUUUGUUGUUAGCCGUCUUAGUGAAAAAAAUGGGAAUUGUUGUUGGAUAGAAAUGUUUGGAAGCAGGCCGCGACUCACUUGAC